rnacentral:rRNA from 1 species
GGGUUGUGAGGUUAAGCGACUAAGCGUACACGGUGGAUGCCCUGGCAGUCAGAGGCGAUGAAGGGCGUGCUAAUCUGCGAUAAGCGCCGGUAAGGUGAUAUGAACCGUUAUAACCGGCGAUACCCGAAUGGGGAAACCCAGUGUGACUCGUCACACUAUCAUUAACUGAAUCCAUAGGUUAAUGAGGCGAACCGGGGGAACUGAAACAUCUAAGUACCCCGAGGAAAAGAAAUCAACCGAGAUUCCCCCAGUAGCGGCGAGCGAACGGGGAGGAGCCCAGAGCCUGAAUCAGCAUGUGUGUUAGUGGAAGCGUCUGGAAAGGCGCGCGAUACAGGGUGACAGCCCCGUACACAAAAGCGCAUGUGCUGUGAGCUCGAUGAGUAGGGCGGGACACGUGGUAUCCUGUCUGAAUAUGGGGGGACCAUCCUCCAAGGCUAAAUACUCCUGACUGACCGAUAGUGAACCAGUACCGUGAGGGAAAGGCGAAAAGAACCCCGGCGAGGGGAGUGAAAAAGAACCUGAAACCGUGUACGUACAAGCAGUGGGAGCACAGGUUUACCUGUGUGACUGCGUACCUUUUGUAUAAUGGGUCAGCGACUUAUAUUCUGUAGCAAGGUUAACCGAAUAGGGGAGCCGGAGGGAAACCGAGUCUUAAUUGGGCGUUAAGUUGCAGGGUAUAGACCCGAAACCCGGUGAUCUAGCCAUGGGCAGGUUGAAGGUUGGGUAACACUAACUGGAGGACCGAACCGACUAAUGUUGAAAAAUUAGCGGAUGACCUGUGGCUGGGGGUGAAAGGCCAAUCAAACCGGGAGAUAGCUGGUUCUCCCCGAAAGCUAUUUAGGUAGCGCCUCGUGAAUUCAUCUCCGGGGGUAGAGCACUGUUUCGGCUAGGGGGCCAUCCCGGCUUACCAACCCGAUGCAAACUGCGAAUACCGGAGAAUGUUAUCACGGGAGACACACGGCGGGUGCUAACGUCCGUCGUGAAGAGGGAAACAACCCAGACCGCCAGCUAAGGUCCCAAAGUCAUGGUUAAGUGGGAAACGAUGUGGGAAGGCCCAGACAGCCAGGAUGUUGGCUUAGAAGCAGCCAUCAUUUAAAGAAAGCGUAAUAGCUCACUGGUCGAGUCGGCCUGCGCGGAAGAUGUAACGGGGCUAAACCAUGCACCGAAGCUGCGGCAGCGACACUGUGUGUUGUUGGGUAGGGGAGCGUUCUGUAAGCCUGCGAAGGUGUGUCGUGAGGCAUGCUGGAGGUAUCAGAAGUGCGAAUGCUGACAUAAGUAACGAUAAAGCGGGUGAAAAGCCCGCUCGCCGGAAGACCAAGGGUUCCUGUCCAACGUUAAUCGGGGCAGGGUGAGUCGACCCCUAAGGCGAGGCCGAAAGGCGUAGUCGAUGGGAAACGGGUUAAUAUUCCCGUACUUGGUGUUACUGCGAAGGGGGGACGGAGAAGGCUAUGUUGGCCGGGCGACGGUUGUCCCGGUUUAAGCGUGUAGGUGUGUGUUCCAGGUAAAUCCGGUUCACUUUAACACUGAGGCGUGACGACGAGGCACUACGGUGCUGAAGCAACAAAUGCCCUGCUUCCAGGAAAAGCCUCUAAGCAUCAGGUAACAUCAAAUCGUACCCCAAACCGACACAGGUGGUCAGGUAGAGAAUACCAAGGCGCUUGAGAGAACUCGGGUGAAGGAACUAGGCAAAAUGGUGCCGUAACUUCGGGAGAAGGCACGCUGACACGUAGGUGAAGUGAUUUACUCAUGGAGCUGAAGUCAGUCGAAGAUACCAGCUGGCUGCAACUGUUUAUUAAAAACACAGCACUGUGCAAACACGAAAGUGGACGUAUACGGUGUGACGCCUGCCCGGUGCCGGAAGGUUAAUUGAUGGGGUCAGCGCAAGCGAAGCUCCUGAUCGAAGCCCCGGUAAACGGCGGCCGUAACUAUAACGGUCCUAAGGUAGCGAAAUUCCUUGUCGGGUAAGUUCCGACCUGCACGAAUGGCGUAAUGAUGGCCAGGCUGUCUCCACCCGAGACUCAGUGAAAUUGAACUCGCUGUGAAGAUGCAGUGUACCCGCGGCAAGACGGAAAGACCCCGUGAACCUUUACUAUAGCUUGACACUGAACAUUGAGCCUUGAUGUGUAGGAUAGGUGGGAGGCUUUGAAGUGUGGACGCCAGUCUGCAUGGAGCCGACCUUGAAAUACCACCCUUUAAUGUUUGAUGUUCUAACGUGGACCCGUUACCCGGGUUGCGGACAGUGUCUGGUGGGUAGUUUGACUGGGGCGGUCUCCUCCUAAAGAGUAACGGAGGAGCACGAAGGUUGGCUAAUCCUGGUCGGACAUCAGGAGGUUAGUGCAAUGGCAUAAGCCAGCUUGACUGCGAGCGUGACGGCGCGAGCAGGUGCGAAAGCAGGUCAUAGUGAUCCGGUGGUUCUGAAUGGAAGGGCCAUCGCUCAACGGAUAAAAGGUACUCCGGGGAUAACAGGCUGAUACCGCCCAAGAGUUCAUAUCGACGGCGGUGUUUGGCACCUCGAUGUCGGCUCAUCACAUCCUGGGGCUGAAGUAGGUCCCAAGGGUAUGGCUGUUCGCCAUUUAAAGUGGUACGCGAGCUGGGUUUAGAACGUCGUGAGACAGUUCGGUCCCUAUCUGCCGUGGGCGCUGGAGAACUGAGGGGGGCUGCUCCUAGUACGAGAGGACCGGAGUGGACGCAUCACUGGUGUUCGGGUUGUCAUGCCAAUGGCACUGCCCGGUAGCUAAAUGCGGAAGAGAUAAGUGCUGAAAGCAUCUAAGCACGAAACUUGCCCCGAGAUGAGUUCUCCCUGAGACUUAAAGUCUCCUGAAGGAACGUUGAAGACGACGACGUUGAUAGGCCGGGUGUGUAAGCGCAGCGAUGCGUUGAGCUAACCGGUACUAAUGAACCGUGAGGCUUAACCUUACAACGCCGAAG